rnacentral:pre_miRNA from 1 species
UGACGUCAUCAGUGACGUCACUAAUGACAUCAUCGGUAUUGUCAUCGUCACGUGACACCGAGGGUCACGUGACGAUGACAAUACCGAUGAUGUCAUUAGUGACGUCACUGAUGACGUCAU